GAUGAACGCUGGCGGCGUGCUUAACACAUGCAAGUCGAGCGAAGCGAUUUUAAGGAAGCCUUCGGGUGGAAUUAAAAUUGACUUAGCGGCGGACGGGUGAGUAACGCGUGGGUAACCUGCCUCAUACAGGGGGAUAACAGUUAGAAAUGACUGCUAAUACCGCAUAAGCGCACAGUGCUGCAUUGCACAGUGUGAAAAACUCCGGUGGUAUGAGAUGGACCCGCGUCUGAUUAGGUAGUUGGUGAGGUAACGGCCCACCAAGCCGACGAUCAGUAGCCGACCUGAGAGGGUGACCGGCCACAUUGGGACUGAGACACGGCCCAAACUCCUACGGGAGGCAGCAGUGGGGAAUAUUGGACAAUGGGGGAAACCCUGAUCCAGCGACGCCGCGUGACUGAAGAAGUAUUUCGGUAUGUAAAGGUCUAUCAGCAGGGAAGAAAAUGACGGUACCUGACUAAGAAGCCCCGGCUAACUACGUGCCAGCCGCCGCUGUAA
rnacentral:rRNA from 1 species